CCUGACGUAGGUGCACAAAAGUUGUCAUGGAAAUCUUACCAUUCGAGGAGGUGGAGCGUGUUGCUGGAGCCAAAGUACAGCUGCAGCAAGGUGGUGUCACUGGUAUUCAACAGCAUGGCUAUUACAACAUCAUCUCUACACCACUACAAGGUUUCUCAGAAGACUCCAGUGAUGAGGAUGACCACAUGGCACCACUGGCACCUAAAAGUGAGGAAGGCUCUGUGUGCUGCGUUUGUGGUGAAAACAUCCCCUUACUGAAUAAAUUGAUAGAGCACUUCAAGACGCACACAGCUGAGGUGUCUUGCCACCUGUGUUGGACAAAGUUUGGAAGUGUUAUGUCACUGGCAUUACACUUAAAAAAUGCCCAUCCAAGGAAAAGUUUCAUGUGUGGAAUCUGCAGAACUCUCUUUAGGUGCACGUGGAAUCUGAAUGGACAUAUGGAAAAGCAUCGGAAAGACGCAAUGGAGGUAAAACCUGUGGUUAAAUGGAACAGACAGAAGAAAUCAGCAUCAAAGAGAACAUAAGAUACACUGAUAUGAGAAAAAUAACCUUGAGGGAUCAUUCAUAUUGUGUCUCAGAUCAAGCACUUACAAAUGACACUUGCAAUGCCAUCCAGAAACGCAUCGACAAUGAUACAAACUCCACAAAUCAAGUGUCACACAUCAAAACACAAACCAAAAGAUUGCCUAUUAUUGAUAAACAAAGCAAUAGCUUCAGCUUUUCCUCAUGCCCUUUGAAUCAAUCAGAGCAAGAGCAUUUAAGCUUUAAACUGAAGGAAGAGAAUGAGGAUGAGGUUGGGCUUGGAUAAACUGCUGCUUGUGAGGUGGCUACAGAGGAGGAAAUUGGACUGAUGGAGGAUGACGAAAGUACUGACACUGAUGACGAUGUCAACACUGAUUCACUACCCCCUGGUGACACGGCGCACAACCCGGAUGAGGACUUCAGCUCAGAAACUGAUGACAGUGACUCAAGAAGCAGCUCCUAUAGCCGUUACCGAAAGAAAAAGAGACGAAAGAAACAGACUCCCGACAGUAAAAGACCUGCAAAUAGGAAUCUAGAGUCAGUUGACACAGCAGAGAAAUCGCCAAAUUCGCUAAUUUGGAGAAGGACAUGGAUGAUUGCAGGAACAAACUGAGGUUUGCUUGUUGUCUGUGCAACAUGGUAUGUGAGAAUGAAGAGUUGCUGCUGAAGCACACGACUGAAAAACACCCCGCAGCUGGGUAUAUCUGUGCAUAUUGCCACAGUGUUUUUCCUAGACUGGACAGUUUCAAAAAUCAUGUCUGUUUGAGAAGACCAACAGGCGGCAUGAACUUGCCAGCCACCCUCGUAACCCAAUUACCUUUAUCCGGUCAAAUAAGACCUUCUGCUCCUGCUUUAUACACCAUUCAAAACUCUAUUAAAAUGAUCAAAAUAGCUCAGACAGUGAAUAAAAUUUCCCCAGCCCCUGAUCCUCCA
ensembl:lncRNA